UACGGAGGGUGCAAGCGUUAUCCGGAUUUACUGGGUUUAAAGGGUGCGUAGGUGGGCAGGUAAGUCAGUGGUGAAAUCUUCAAGCUUAACUUGGAAACUGCCAUUGAUACUAUUUGUCUUGAAUAUCCUGGAGGUAAGCGGAAUAUGUCAUGUAGCGGUGAAAUGCUUAGAUAUGACAUAGAACACCCAUUGCGAAGGCAGCUUACUACGGGAUUAUUGACACUGAGGCACGAAAGCGUGGGUAGCGAAUGGG
rnacentral:rRNA from 1 species